rnacentral:tRNA from 1 species
CAGAACGUGGCUAAACCAGAUAAAGCAUCUCCCCUACACUGAGAAGAAACCCGUGCAAAUCGAGUCGUCCUGA